UACGGGGGGGGCAAGCGUUGUUCGGAAUUACUGGGCGUAAAGGGCUCGUAGGCGGCCAACUAAGUCAUACGUGAAAUCCCUCGGCUUAACCGGGGAACUGCGUCUGAUACUGGAUGGCUUGAGUUCGGGAGAGGGAUGCGGAAUUCCAGGUGUAGCGGUGAAAUGCGUAGAUAUGCGGAGGAACACCGAUGGCGAAGGCAAUCCCCUGGGCCUGCACUGACGCUCAUGCACGAAAGCGUGGGGAGCAAACAGG
rnacentral:rRNA from 1 species